UCUGGCAGCACGCCGAAUCCUGCCGCUGGCCCGACCGACCUCGACUUCCCUGAGGCAGGAACGGGAGAUCGCAGACCUCCGGGCCGCGUCAGUGGCCCUCGGGGUGAAGCCGUGACCGCCACGGCCGGGCAGUCCUCCCGCCCGAACCCGACAGCUCAUCCCGCAGGCGCGCUCGGAGGAUCU
rnacentral:sRNA from 2 species